rnacentral:lncRNA from 1 species
GAGCUGCGCGUGGGGGUGGGUAGGAACCCCAGGCCUCGCGGGGACUGGGACCCAGGGCCUGUGGGGCCGCUUGACUCAGCCCCCUUGGAGAGCAGGACUGGAGUCUCGAUAGGGGACCCCGUGUCGCCUUCCCUUCAGCCGAGGAUUGAGCAGUGACAACCGUGACUCUCUGGUGGUCAACUGCCCUUCUCAACGGCCAACCUCAAGUUCACGUCUGUCCUCUAGGCCGUAAAGGAGAGGGAACUCGGACGUCACUAAGGCUCAGGGUCUCCGGAGCAGCUGUGCACAUCCCAGAGGGACCAGGGUCCCGGACGCUCUGCUGAGCUAGCUCGCUUUCCCACCUUCAGGAGGGGCGGGGUCCCACCUGCAGCCUGCGGGCUAGUCAAGCAGCACACGAAGGUGUGAAAAGAAAGGCAAAGUUUGACGCGAUGGAGAAAAACAAGCCACUGUUUUGGGGACCGUGAUGGUGGGGAGGGUUUGUUAUAUCUACUGACUUUUGAAGGUAGAGGGAGACUCAGAGGCCGAUUAGGGGCCAGGGGAACGAAGGUUUGGGACAUAAUGGACAAAAGAAGGAAGACCAGGAGAGCGAGAAAGAAUGAAGGGAGUCACCAGAGAAGAGCGUUAUCAACGCAGCCAAGUGGAUUCCCAACAGUGUUUCCCUCUUCGCCCUCACCCCACACCCGUGCUUCCGUGGUCUAGGAUGAUCUCGGUAGGCCGUGCAGAAGCAGCAAUAGGAGAAAUGAUGAACUGUAGAGCCCUUGCCAGACAGUCCCUUAAACGUCUCCAGUGGAAGCACACACUCAGGAGGAGAGGGGAGCAGCAUCGGCUGGGUUUGACCAACAGGUACACUCCAGGCUGCCUGCAUCAUGCUGGCUACUGGUGCCGCAGAGCUGGGCUGUCCGCUGUUUUCCUGGGGCCAUGGAGGAGGCACUGCGGGUGAGACUAACUAAAGGGUCAAGAACCAGAAAGCUUGGGGUUUUAUCCCAGCGCGUCCAUCCAUUUGCGGUCUAGGCAAACGAUACAGUUUAGUUUUACAAACAGAGGUAGCCUGAGCCGGGCACCGUCCCACCUGUAGGACCGGCUGCUGGAGAGGCAGCAAACCGAAUGAACCUGUGAAUUAGGAUGCAGCCUGAACAACAAAGUCUCUCUCUCUCUCUCUCUCUCUCUCUCUCUCUCUCUCUCUCACACACACACACACACACACACACACACACACACACCACACAGAGAUACAUUCCCCCAGACACCCUACACAGCCCCACAUAUGCUCAGAGACACACCCCACACAUUCCCCACGAGCGUACACACACGCAAACACAUGCACACCCGCUCAUCCUCGAACACACACACAUUCACACAUAUAGGCACACACACAACACAUACUGUUAGUGUACUGUCUAAGCUCCACUCCACAGUUAUCUGGCAACUGCCAGGUAGGCCUGACCCACUAUAAAAGGGGCUGCUUGCCCCCUCCUGCUCUCUUGCUCCUCUCUUGCCCUCUUGCUCCCACUCUCUCCCCAUUCCCUUCCUCCCCUCUCCAUGUGCUCAUAGCCAGCCUCUGCUACACCAUCUCCAGUAGGAUCUGUGUGAUAAGUUCCACACAUUGAGGCGAUUGACCUCAAGAGGGGGAGGGGAGGCCUCCUGGAAUCGGUUGUGGAACUCUUCCCUGGAGCUGUAGUUCUCAUGGCAAUCUGUCUGUUUUGUUUUCUCUUAUUCCUUUUCUUAUUUACACGUUCCUGGUAACCUAGGCCAAGUUCUUUUUUUUUUUUUUUUUUGGCUUUUGGUUUGGUUUUUGGCCCUGGCUGUCCUGGAACUCACUCUGUAGACCAGGUUGAUCUGGAACUCAGAAAUCUGACUGCCUCUGCCUCCCAAGUGCUGGGAUUAAAGGCGUGCACUGCCACGCCCCUCUUAGGCCAAGAUUUUAAGUGAGAAUAAUGGGUAAGAAACCAUCCCUAUAGAUGGGGUCACUAACAUGACCUUAUCCCCAGGGAAACCAACACUUUACUUUCAAAAUCAUUUACAAAACUAUUAUAAUAGAUAAAAACUUUACUAACAAUAAAAUUUCAUAUGGCUACAUGUGUGUCAUUGGUGGUGGAUUUUGGUAUAUGUUAAAGAAAGCCUUAAUUAGAAAAAAUUAAAAUAGUUUAAAUUUACACAGUGAAGAUUUUUAAAAAGUCAGGCAUUAGAUGUUAAAUAAUAAUUGACCAUGGGGCUGGAGAGUUGGUUCAGCAGUUAAGAGCACUGACCGUUAAAGAUUUAUUAACCUGCACCUGGAAAUAUGCCACUACCCUUGGAGGACAGCCCCCACUGAAUACAUCCCUUUAGAAUUGUUAUACUUUGAUGUUUUAUAAUGAUGUUACCUAUUCUGUUUGUGAUUCACUGAAUACAUAGUUUCAGAGUUGUAAUGCUUGGAUGAUUUUUGUGCUUCACUGUGCCAAAUGAUUUUUGUUGGUAUUUGUGAUUGUUUCACUGGAUAUAGUUUCUAAGAGAUAUGGAAUGCUUGGUUUUUUUAAUGUAUAAAAUCCCCUGCUUGAGAGCUGCAGAAUACAUUCAGAUUCAAACU